rnacentral:lncRNA from 1 species
GUACCCAGCACUCCCUGGAGGAGUGAGGUCCGGAGCGGGGGCAAUACUGCUAUAACCAUCCUUUGGACUCAGCCCAACUGAGAGGGGGGUCUUACUGUCUGGCUUUGCUGGCUAUUAACUGCAGCGAGGACACCCCAGAAAAGCUAUAAGCAGAAAAGAUCCGGGUCUUAAAGGGCCCACCCACAAACUCACUCAUUGCUGCAAACUAAAAUCACCAGAGAGAAGGCUGACUGUCCUUUGGUGAAACGAGACUCACCUGGUGGGCUCUGGGGGCAUCUUGGUGAGAGGAGGGUCGUCUCCGGAGACUGAGACAUUGGUGGGGGCCGUUGUUCUGAGCUGGUCCAGGCGUGCUGAUACGGACACUGCUACUCCUCUGCUCAGGAUUAUGACCACUGAAAUACUUUAUCUUCUCUUCCUCCGGCUUUAUGGUUGAGAGAUUUUAUACUGCUUAUCAGCGUUGGUUCAGGUUCAUAUGACCAGCCACAUUAAGGAAAAGAACAAACUGAAACCGGAAGAGAGGCGUUAGAAGUGUUGGAAAAUCACAAGAGUCGCUCUGCCCUUUUCGCAGACAGAUAAAAAAUUUUUUG